UACGGAGGGUGCAAGCGUUAUCCGGAUUCACUGGGUUUAAAGGGUCCGUAGGCGGACCGUUAAGUCAGUGGUGAAAGCCCACAGCUCAACUGUGGAAUUGCCAUUGAUACUGGCGGUCUUGAGUACAUGUGAAGUUGGCGGAAUGUGUGGUGUAGCGGUGAAAUGCUUAGAUAUCACACAGAACACCGAUUGCGAAGGCAGCUGGCUAACAUGUAACUGACGCUGAGGGACGAAAGUGUGGGGAUCAAACAGG
rnacentral:rRNA from 1 species